rnacentral:rRNA from 1 species
AGGGAAUAGAUACCCGGGUAGUCCUGGCAGUAAACGGUGCACGUUUGGUGUGGGCGCAAUCGACCGCGUCCGCGCCGGAGCUAAACGCGUUAAACGUGCCGCCUGGGAAGUACGGUCGCAAGAUUAAAACUCAAAGAAAUUGACGGGGACCCGCACAAGCGGUGGAGUAUGUGGCUUAAUUCGAUGCAACGCGAAGAACCUUACCUGGUCUUGACAUGCAUUGUGUCUCCGGUGAAAGCCGGAUAGGGCAGCAAUGCCCGCUUUGCACAGGUGCUGCAUGGCUGUCGUCAGCUCGUGUCGUGAGAUGUUGGGUUAAAGUUCCCGCAACGAGCGCAACCCCUGUGAUUUGUUGCCACCGGCUUAUGCCGAGCACUCGAAUCAGACUGCCUCGAUCAACGAGGAGGAAGGUGGGGAUGACGUCAAGUCCGUAUGGCCCUUACGACCAGGGCUGCACACGUACUACAAUGCUCAGCACAAUGUGAACCGAUGCCGCGAGGU